CCUACGGGAGGCAGCAGUGAGGAAUAUUGGUCAAUGGACGAGAGUCUGAACCAGCCAAGUAGCGUGAAGGAUGACUGCCCUAUGGGUUGUAAACUUCUUUUAUAAAGGAAUAAAACGAGGCACGUGUGCCUUUUUGCAUGUACUUUAUGAAUAAGGAUCGGCUAACUCCGUGCCAGCAGCCGCGGUAAUACGGAGGAUCCGAGCGUUAUCCGGAUUUAUUGGGUUUAAAGGGUGCGUAGAUGGGUUGUUAAGUCAGUUGUGAAAGUUUGCGGCUCAACCGCAAAAUUGCAAUUGAUACUGGCAGUCUUGAGUACAGUUGAGGUAGGCGGAAUUCGUGGUGUAGCGGUGAAAUGCUUAGAUAUCACGAAGAACCCCGAUUGCGAAGGCAGCUUACUAAACUGUUACUGACAUUGAUGCUCGAAAGUGUGGGUAGCAAACAGGAUUAGAUACCCUUGUAGUC
rnacentral:rRNA from 1 species